GAUGCCUGUUUGAUUUGAUUUUGGGGGGGGUGAUCAGACUACCCCGAGCUCCCAAGUUAGAGAGGACCCUUUCAGCUCUCAUUCGACCUUCACAACACCAGUUCUCUCACAAGCAGCACACAUCCCGAAGCCUACCCUUGCGACCUUGACGUAAAACUUAGUGCCUCUUUGAAAACUCAAAGCACUGCCUGCUUUCAGAAAGCCUCUCAAACGGAAUCAACACACAGUUAGAAUAAACGGGAUCACGCCUCGCAAAAUGACAAACUCAGCUUUCCUCCUCUUUUUACUGAGUCAGCCUGGAGAGGAAAGGCAAGAAGCCCCAGCUCCUUUCCUUCUGCUGUUCCGAUUGCAUAAGUGUCUCCACUUUGCUCAGGCAGGAUGACCCUCAUCUGAAGCUGGGACUGAGAAAAUAGCUGCAUUGUACUGCAGCCUCCUACCCUGCCACAGCUAUAAGCUGGAGGACGCACAGGACCCCACCGGGAUCCCGCAGGGGCAAUAGAAUGGCAUAUGGGGACCCGAGCUUUAGAGAGGGGCCCAUUUAUCCUGGGGUUUGAUUGAACUGCUCCAGAUCUGGCACAUAUGCAAUUGAAAAACAACGUGGUCAGCCUAUGCUUGCACAUUUAGUACCUAGUCUGAUGGAGAAAUAAACAGAAAGCCUGGGCAAGUGCAUCAUAUUUGCAUGACAUUCUCCAUAAAUCUGGCCAGUGUAUUUAGCUGACUCUUUAGGCGGGAUGCUAAGUUAGCUGGAGCUAAGUGGGAAAGAGGACAAAAGGAGAAGCAGCACAUUUUCAUCACAAAUCCACUUACCAUCUUAAAGACUGAGGCUAUGGUGAACGCUUGGAGAAAUCAUGCCCAAAUUAGACUGGACUUGUGCAUGCUGCCACUGCAGCUGCCCUGAUUGAUUUUUCAUUCAUUUCUACCUAAAAUGCUGACGCACCAACUUGGUGUGUGUGCCAGGUAGGGUCUCUGCAGUGAGCAGAGCUGCGGCUGCAGGGAAAAUCUCUGCCAGGCUGGCAGGAGUAAUUAGGCAAAUGAAGACCUGGGAUGGAUCAAGAAGUACAAUAACCAAAGUGGUACAGAAGGGGCAGACUCUGUAUUGUUCUUUUUGAUGACACUGACAGCCAUAAAGAAAGGGGACUUCUACUCCUCCCCCACCCAAUCUUAUUACUAAAACUCAUCUCGAAUUAGCAAAAUGGUGGGCUAUUUGUCUUUUGGGGGCAUGGUGAAAAUCUUCUGGUGGAAUAUAAAAGUCGAAACACACUCAGGAGACUUCCUUCUGCUUUUUUCUCACAUGUCAUGCAGUCAUAAGAAUAUAAUUUCUAUUCAAAAAGAAUUCAUCCAGGGCUAAACUGUAGUUCUUUUUUUUUCUCCCCAAGAACUCUCAAUUCUAAGGGACACAUAUUAAGUUAGAAGAGUGGAUUCCUAGAGUUCCGCCCAAGUAUGCCUCUAGAAUCAAGAGUGAUAUGGCAAUGAUACUUGCCCAGAAGAUUCUUCAGGCUUCUCUUUGGGCUAAAUCAAGUCCCAAAAUUUUCUUCUAUAAUGCAAGCCAAUCUCAUGAAUACUUAUUUAAUACCUGCUGUAGGUAGAGGAUUGUUUCUGAGACUUCCUUCUACUUAAAGACUUGAGAAUGUUUAUCCUCCCAGCUAAAUAGAAAUGGAAGUUAAAUAAUGAAGUCAACGAUAGAUUUUCUCAGAGGAUUAAGUGUGCCAGCUUCAGAAUAUUACCUAUUUUGUAGAAUCAAUUAGUUCCAUUUUCAAAUGUUUAAUCUGCAUGUUCCUUUUUGAAAAGUUCUAUUAUUUGUUGUAAUUUAAUUCACUAAAAUUUUUAAUUAAAUUUUGUUUACCAUGUG